rfam:Glycine soja cultivar W05 scaffold4668_4, whole genome shotgun sequence.
GCCGAGUUGAGUUAUGUCAGCUUGUGACUCAAGUGGGGGCACCAAGGUGAUGGAACAGUUCUUUGGCUUUGCUGGGUUGGGCUGCGGCUGCAAUGUGUUGGCCUGUCCGCUCCAAGUUGAGAAUUGAAUCAUGGGACCUAAGCGAAGGCAUAGGUCUCCUGGUUCUUAGAGUGGAGGGCACUGCGUGAGGCUGGUUUCACAGAACAGCGAACACCUCCCAUUCCCAACAGUGGAGGGAUAACAGGUUGCUGCAAUCACAGUCCACCAUGGCCUGGUGAGCCUAGAUUCUUGAACCAUCACUUUU